CCCAGCACAAGAAGGACAUGGACCUGUUGGAUUGAGUCCAAGGGAGGCCACCAAGAUGUUUAGAGGGAUGGAGCACCUCUCCUGUGAGGAAAGACUGAGAGAGUUGGGGUUGUUCAGCCUGGAAAAGAGAAGGCUUCAG